AUUGAACGCUGGCGGCAGGCCUAACACAUGCAAGUCGGACGGUAGCACAGAGGAGCUUGCUCUUCGGGUGACGAGUGGCGGACGGGUGAGUAAUGUCUGGGGAUCUGCCCGAUAGAGGGGGAUAACCACUGGAAACGGUGGCUAAUACCGCAUAACGUCGCAAGACCAAAGAGGGGGACCUUCGGGCCUCUCACUAUCGGAUGAACCCAGAUGGGAUUAGCUAGUAGGCGGGGUAACGGCCCACCUAGGCGACGAUCCCUAGCUGGUCUGAGAGGAUGACCAGCCACACUGGAACGGAGACACGGUCCAGACUCCUACGGGAGGCAGCAGUGGGGAAUAUUGCACAAUGGGCGCAAGCCUGAUGCAGCCAUGCCGCGUGUAUGAAGAAGGCCUUCGGGUUGUAAAGUACUUUCAGCGGGGAGGAAGGCGAUGUGGUUAAUAACCGCGUCGAUUGACGUUACCCGCGGAAGAAGCACCGGCUAACUCCGUGCCAGCCGCCGCGGUAA
rnacentral:rRNA from 1 species